rnacentral:misc_RNA from 1 species
GAUGAAGAACGUAGCGAAAUGCGAUAAGUAAUGUGAAUUGCAGAAUUCAGUGAAUCAUCGAAUCUUUGAACGCAUCUUGCGCUCCUUGGUAUUCUGAGGAGCAUGCCUGUUUGAGUGUCAUUAAAUUCUCAACCGUACUGACUUUGAAUUGGUGUGGCUUGGAUUUGGGGGGAAAAUUGUUGUGGGCUUUUUUGUAUAGUCUGCUCCCCUGAAAUUGAUUAGCGGUACCUUUGUGGAACUGUCUACAGGUGUGAUAAUUAUCUACAUCCUAGACAUCUGCUGGAAUGCUGCUUUCUAAACCUUACUUGUAUUGACAAUCUUGACCUCAAAUCAGGUAGGACUACCCGCUGAACUUAAGCAUAUCAAUAAGCGGAGGA